rnacentral:rRNA from 1 species
CAGGCCUAACACAUGCAAGUCGAGCGCCCUCUUCGGAGGGAGCGGCGGACGGGUGAGUAACACGUGGGAACGUACCCUCCGGUUCGGAAUAACCCAGGGAAACUUGGGCUAAUACCGGAUACGUGCCGAGAUAGAGAUAUCUGGGCAGAAAGGUUUACUGCCGGAGGAUCGGCCCGCGUCUGAUUAGCUAGUUGGUGGGGUAACGGCCUACCAAGGCGACGAUCAGUAGCUGGUCUGAGAGGAUGAUCAGCCACACUGGGACUGAGACACGGCCCAGACUCCUACGGGAGGCAGCAGUAGGGAAUAUUGGGCAAUGGGCGCAAGCCUGACCCAGCCAUGCCGCGUGCCGGAUGAAGGCGCUCAGCGUUGUAAACGGCUUUUAGCUGGGAAGAACGGCAGACCUGCGGGCUUGUGUGACGGUACCAGCGGAAUAAGCACCGGCUAACUCCGUGCCAGCAGCCGCGGUAAU